AAUUUUGGACAAUGGGCGCAAGCCUGUUCCAGCCAUGCUGCGUGAGUGAAGAAGGCCUUCGGGUUGUCGAUUUCUUUCGGACGGAAAGAAAUCGCGCAGGCUAAUACCCUGCGCGGAUGACGGUACCUUCAUAAGAAGCACCGGCUACCGAUGUGCCAGCAGCCGCGGUAAUACGUAGGGUGCGAGCGUUAAUCGGAAUUACUGGGCGUAAAGCGUGCGCAGGCGGUUGAUUAAGACAGGCGUGAAAUCCACGGGCUUAGCCUGGGAACAGAGCUUGUGACUGGUCAGCUAGAGUACGGAAGAGGGGGGUGGAAUUCAACGUGUAGCAGUAAAAUGCGUAGAGAUGUGGAGGAACACCGAUGGCGAAGGCAGCCCCCUAGGACGAUACUGACGCUCAUGCACGAAAGCGUGGGUAGCAAACAGG
rnacentral:rRNA from 1 species